AACCUCGCAACCCUAGCCCCAAUCCACAUCCCCCACGCCCCUCACUCCUCGCUCCUCCUCCUUCCCUCGUCUGCCGCCUCACUCCCUUCCUCUCCUCCCUCGUCGCCCUAGGAGCCCCGCCGCCUACUGCUGCUCCUCCACCACCUCGCCUCUUUCUCCUCCUCGCCUUCCCAUCGCUCGCGCGUAGGUCGUCGCCGUCGGAGAACAGGGGAGUGCGGGUCUUCAAGUUGGGGUUGUCAUGAGGGCUUCCCAACCCGACGGCGCCUCCUCCUCGCAGCGUUGUCGCCCGCGCCCCUUCUUCUCCUUCCUCCUCCCUCUUCCCUCCCUCGUCACUACGUCCACCAGUCCCCUCCCUCCCUCAUCACUACGUCGACCAGUCCUUUCCCUCCCUUGUCCGUGGCCGCUGCUGCCGCAUGAAUCUCCCAAGUCAGGGAAAGGAAGAAGGCCUUGGCGAGUCUAAGCCUACGAAGGAAAGCAGCAGGGGUUGGUGGAGCGACUGAUGUGGAUGGGGUCGGCGGUUGAGGGAAGGUUGCCGACCAGAGAAGCAGGAGCAAGAAGCUCGAGAAGAUUGGAUACACAUGGUUCAGCAAAGAGGGAGUGUGCAACCGCAACAGAGAUAGGGACAUGGAGCAAGAGUGUGUGGCUAGGCUGUGCAAAUUUUCUCCUUCGAGAAAGCAAGUGUUUUCUGUUGAUGAGCUUGUAGUGGGAGGAACUAGGAAAGAAGCACAAACGACAAGCUGCCAAUAUAUCUGUAAGAAAUUUGCAUACAACAGAGGGGGUAUGGUAAUUGUUGUUAACAUAAAGUUGUCCGCCUUCAAGAUUUUUACUUUCUGAUUAUGAAAGUUGAAGCAUAGUUGUCAGCAGGGUUAUGGUAAUUGUUGUUUACUUGAUGAAUAUUAAUUAAUAAAUUUCAUAAAGAUGACUGUUGAGUGGUAAAAUUAUUGUUUUCCACAUUGAAGCCAAGGUCAACCUAUGUGUUUUUGCAUGUUCAUCCAUUCGAAUGCGGUCUUUUGUGCGGAUAUGUUGCAUGUUUUUUUUUAAUUGAAGUAGGCCAUGAUUCAUGAUGUUAGAUGUUUCGUUUUACUUCCUCUAUGUAUUGGCAUGUUGUUUAUUUGUUUGCUGAUGGUAUUGAUAAACCCAGGUUCAGCCGGGGCGUUGUGCUUUGUUCGUCCUCGUGUUUGUCGCCUGUUGUUUACCAUGGCUCCCCUUUGUUCCAUAUGGUCUAGGAACUGCAAGGUUGCUACUUAUCGUCGCCAAGUUUUUUACAGGCGUAGCUAAAUCCAAAGUUGUUUCCGUAUUCAGAAUAAUAGGAACAAAAUUUAGUGAAACACAAGCGUGCAGGCUGCCAAUUUAGUGCUCAGGUACAGCCACUCUUGAUUUGUAGUUCAUUGGUUAAUUUAGAAUCUAGAAAUGAAGUCCUCUUUGCUUAUGGAUUCUCCACUUUUUCCAAGGGAAUUGUUUUCUAAGUACAUAUGGAGACACUGAUGUUUGACUUACAAUGUUGUUUGACACAUUGCUCUGCUUCAAGCUCUCACUGAUGGAUUUGCAGUACGCCUGAACUUGGACUCUGUCCAAACCAACAGAGUUGUGAAUGAGCUCUGCUAGCUAUGCUAUAUAUAUUUGACCAUUUCUAGAUCGUCUUAGCUCAUGCCAUGAGCUUGGGUAACGUGUCACCGCAAUGCGUAAUGUCUAUUACUUCUGCCUUUUUCCUAUCUGUACAUUUGGAGAAAAACGGAUCGUGUUAUUUCUGCGUUUGACAAUUCCAUUUAGGUGUAAAAGCCUAGCUAUGUUUUGUUCCUUUUUGUUUUCUGUAUAGUUUGUGCACUGACCAAUGAUUUGUGAUGUCCAUGAAUACUAUUAAGGCAUUGUUGAACUUUGCCUUUUUCCUAUCUGUAUAUUUGGAGAAUAAGGCAUACAUGUAGUCAGAGUGUUGCUUCCCAGGUGAGCUGAGGUGAUAACUGAGCCCUCUUAUACUGUAGAGCAGGUUCAAUAUUUGCUUGUAUUUUCAUGUGCCAAAGGAUAGUUCUGUUCGUGUUGUUGUGGCUUGUGACAGUUGCCGAAAAAAGAGAAGACGAUGAGCAAGAUACGGCGGCCAACAUUGUGUUAAUUGCCUGCUUUAUGCAAAACUAAAACAAGUCAAACUAAAAUGCUUUGGUAUGUAUUGGCUAAAUUAGAGCGUAUGAGAUUGGCAUAUGAAGGAUAACACUACAAGUUGGCACACCUAGAAAUUGAUUAAUGCCUUUUCUUUUGUCUCUUUGCAUAGUGCCCAGGUAGUGUUCAUUAGUAGGUUCAAAGGAUGCUCAGAUUUUUAAUUCUCGGUUUAUUCUACCAUGGAUUCCUUCUGGUAUGUGCAUGUUUCAAAACUGAAUAUACACGUAGGAGAAACUUGAGAGCCAAUAUUAGUGCUUAAGGAUUACUCUCAGUGCCAUUCUAUGCUAUCAUGGUAAAAUAGGCCAAUACACAUUCAGGAAAUAUGUGACCAACUUUCCCAAGGUCCUGCAUCGUCUACUCAGUUUAAUUCUUAGUCUACAACCUCCAAAACCUGCAGUUUUAUUUUUAUAAAUGGUUAAGCGCCCAUUGCUCUAAGCGUCAGCCUGUCGCUUCGCUUAUGCUUAACGCUUUCCUCAACAUUGAUUUCUGUCAAACAAACUUUUUGUUUCUUAAGUUUUCAUGUUGAUUACUGAUUGUGGGAGUUGAAUUGUGCUCUAGUGGAAGUGUUAGAGUGUAGCAUUUUUGUAAGCAUAAUCUAUAUCCAUUCCUAUUGGGAACAUACACAUGUAGGUUUUUGUAAGCAGAAUACUGUAGGAGCAUACUAUUAGGACUUACGUAGAUGGGCUAUUCUAGACAUUGGCAAGAGAAUGGUCUGCAUCCUAUAUAUGGUCUUAGUGCGUUCUAAAAAAGCACGUGUUAAAUAGCUGUCAGCACAACGAUUUCUAACUAAUAGAAUGUUACUCCCGUUGGUAUAUAUGAGGCAAUGUCUAAUAUUUUCUUAGAAUAAUGGUUUAAUUAAUUGGAUAAUUAUCACUUUCUCGAUGCGCCUACUUUCAGAGAUGUAAAAUCCAGGACUCUAUGUAAUGUGCCUUCAAUAUCUAUUCAAUAGUUGAAUAGCAACAUCAAAUCAUUCUCUUGAACUUAUUAUAUCAUGCUCUCUAACUCCUUGGCAUUUAAUUCGAGUUAAACAAAUCUUGUUCAUAGCGAAAAAUACAUUUUAUAGAAAGAUAGCCCUUUAUUCUGUUUAUUAUCUCUAGCUACUUCUACUGUAGUCCUUGCUUAACACUGAUGUUCGUCUUGUGACAGAUCCAGGAUAUUCUGUGGCCCAAGUUCCCUACAGAAUAAUGCCAAGUCUAAUUUCAACAGUGGGCAUGACAGCCUCAAACUUCUCUCUUCAAUAUUGAAGAAGCGGCUUACUCGGAUCAAUGGGCCUGCACUUAGAAAAUAGCUAGAGAGUACGAGAUAUUCCUAGAGUAAAUAAAGGGCAUGGUGUGCUGAUACGUUAGACAGAAGCAAAAUGUUACUUAUUACGCUCCUAUUGUUGUAUCCUUAGACAUUUUCUUCCACCUACCAUACACCAGUAUUGAAUAUUGAAA